rnacentral:rRNA from 1 species
GACGGAGGAUGCAAGUGUUAUCCGGAAUUACUGGGCGUAAAGCGUGCGCAGGCGGUUAUGUAAGACAGGUGUGAAAUCCCAGGGCUUAACCUUGGAACUGCAUUUGUGACUGCAUAGCUAGAGUACGGUAGAGGGGGAUGGAAUUCCGCGUGUAGCAGUGAAAUGCGUAGAUAUGCGGAGGAACACCGAUGGCGAAGGCAAUCCCCUGGACCUGUACUGACGCUCAUGCACGAAAGCGUGGGGAGCAAACAGG